AUGCAAGUCGAGCGGGGGAAGGUAGCUUGCUACUGGACCUAGCGGCGGACGGGUGAGUAAUGCUUAGGAAUCUGCCUAUUAGUGGGGGACAACAUCUCGAAAGGGAUGCUAAUACCGCAUACGUCCUACGGGAGAAAGCAGGGGAUCUUCGGACCUUGCGCUAAUAGAUGAGCCUAAGUCGGAUUAGCUAGUUGGUGGGGUAAAGGCCUACCAAGGCGACGAUCUGUAGCGGGUCUGAGAGGAUGAUCCGCCACACUGGGACUGAGACACGGCCC
rnacentral:rRNA from 1 species